rnacentral:miRNA from 18 species
ACUAACUUUUCCGCUUCUCAAUGCUCCAUUUGCAAAAUCAAAUUGAUUUUCUUGCAAAUGGGAUGAGAACCGGAAACGUUUGA